rnacentral:misc_RNA from 1 species
CGGCCCUGUUUCCGUUACAAUCGUGCGGACUUGACGGACCCACAACGGCGAUUGUAUUGGCGAACCACCGGGGAAACGCGAAGAGGAAGGGGUUUCUGAAUGUCGGUUUAGUGAGCUCAUGCACGAGCUCAUCAACGUAAGGAUCUGUCGCGGUAGUACAUCCAAAAAUGGCGUUCCUUGCGUAGCCGUAACCCAUCGUCGUCAUUAUCGUCAUCGUUCUCAUUGUUGUCGUUGUCAUUAUCGUAAUUGUUUUUGGGUCGUUAUUGUUGUUAUUGCCGCCGCCUUCGCCCAACUUGAUGUUUAUCAACGUCGUCACUAUCCGUUAGUGUUUGCUGAAUUACCUGGUGGAGUCGCAAGGCGCCAGUUUGAGGAAAAGUCUAACUAGAAAUACGAAAAUGCAGUCGACUGAACAACUACGACCGGAUCAAUUAGUGGGCUUGGUGGCCCGUUCGGCCGAAGGUACAGCGGCCAAAGGAAUGCCGAUCAAAGGGCACGAGGACCUUUGGGUGGAGAUCCAGGCUAACACCUUCCGAAACUGGGUGAACGAACAUUUGAAACACGCUGGUGAUGUAGGCGGUGGGCCCGUUCUGGAUCUCGCCGAGGAUUUUAGAGAUGGUACGCGUCUUUGUGCUCUGGUCGAAGUUCUUACGCAACGCCGUCUAUCGCGAUGGAAUCCGAAGCCGGCGAAUCAACAUCACCAUCUAGAGAACGUGUCAACGGCAUUGCAGGCCAUCGAAGCUGAUGGUGUUAAACUUGUCAAUAUUGGUAACGUGGACAUAGUAAACGGCAAUCUAAAGUUGAUCUUGGGCUUGAUAUGGUCCCUCAUCGUGCGAUAUCAAAUAGGCAAAUCCAAGUUCCCGCCAAGGAAACUCAUGCUCUCAUGGCUCAAGGCUGUCCUACCGGAAUGUAGAGUGAACAAUUUUACGACCGACUGGAACUCUGGCGUAUACUUGAGCGCACUUUUGGACUACUGCAAACCUGGUCUAUUCCCGUAUUGGCGGCAGCUCGAUCCAAAUGACAGUGUUUACAACUGUCGCAAAGCUAUGGAGAUAUCGAAACGAGAGUUCGAUAUUCCGAUGGUAUUGGAGCCAGAGUACCUCGCGUCACCUUAUUUGGACGAACUCUCGGGGAUGACCUACUUGUCAUAUUUCAUGAAGGAAGGUUCGCCAGGCUUCCAUGCAACGCUACGAUGGGUCAAUUCGCAAUUAUUACAUACCUCUAUACGGAACUUCACGACUGACUGGAACGACGGUAGAACGCUGUGCGAAAUUAUUCGAAACUUGGGCGGUUCAGCGCCGCCCUAUGAAAAACUCGGUACGAACCCCGCUGCCUGGGAACAUAAUUUGCAAAUGGGUAUCGAUGGCGGUAAAAAAUUAGGUGUAGAACCGAUUCUGAAAGCGAAAGACAUGGCGGAUCAGAAUGUAGAGCAUUUAGGUGUGAUGGCGUACGCGGCGUAUUUUCAGUGGGUGAAGCCUCGUCCUCAAGCAAGCCAACAGAUUGCUGUACACAUCGAUAGCACAUCUGCCCGAAUACAACAACCGGCACAUUUCAAAUUGGAAAUGCUCACCAAAGAUGUGAACGUAAGGGAUGUGCGCGGCGAAAUUAUUAGUCCCAGUGGGCGUGUGGAGUGCAGACUUACGUGGAAUGGAAUUCAUGGCAAAGGCACUUUCAUACCUACGGAAGUUGGCAUGCACAAGCUGAUGGUGUACAACGACGACGAGCUAGUGAAUGGGUGUCCAUAUUACUUCAGGGUUUUGCCACGUCUAACGAAAAUUAGAUCCCCGGGCAUGGAUCCUUGCGCCAUAGAAUCUAUUGUUGAAGUUCUAGUCAACAGUUACGAAUCUGAUCUUCUACAUUUAGGAACUAGUCAUGAUGGUAUUGACGUGACCGCGUGGUCUCCAACUGGUAGAUCUCUACCGUGUCCCGUCAAGGAAAAAGAUAGCGUGCACACGGCGACUUUUCAGCCUGACGAGACGGGAGAGUGGAGCAUCGCGAUAACGCACAAGGGAAAUCAUAUACAAGGUGGACCCUUCACUUGCUUCGUCUUCGAUCCUAAUGGUAUCAAGCUCUUGGACACUGACGGCGCCAUACCGGGACAACCAUUUUACUUCACCAUCGAUGCACGAGGAACUGGUGGUCUGGGCGACGUAAUUAUCGACAUUGUCCAUGAUAAGCAAUCGCUGACCCAUAGGAUGGAAGACUUUGGUCAUAUGCAGUACCGAGUAUCUUUCGUACCUAAGAAUGCCGGUAAAUAUCGGGUGUAUGUAUACUUCAAUGGUUCGGACGUACGCGGUUCACCAUUCUCCAUACGAGUCGGCACGCAGAAAGGAUCCCGGAGAUCGAAGGAAUCUACGUCCAGCUUGGAGCGAUCCAAAGUAUCAUCGCUGGAACGACGAAUGAAUGACUUGAACAUCUCCGCGACCGAACAGGCCAGUCCGACCCAGAAGAUGUACACGUCGACCGUAUAUAAAUCCAUUAGCCCAAUGCAACGUAGCUACUCACCCAUCCAUCAGGCCAACUCCGCCUACAAAACAUCGAGCAGUAAUUACGCAACUGAGAAUACCAUCGCUUCGACGUACCACAACACUCGUUCGCCAAAUCACUUGAGCUCUCACAGCCCCGUGCAGAGGAACAUGCAUAGUCCAGCGAUACUUAAAGAGACAAAUGAGAUUUAUAAUAGCGUGUACAACCAUCGCUCAAGAUCGCCAAAUCAACAGAGCCCUCUCGAUUUCAUGAAAGAAUCCAAGGAUAUAUAUUCGUCCGACGUGUUAAACAGUUCGCGAUCACCGGACCUAAACUCGAGCGCACACGUCAUUAAGGAAUCUAAGGACAUCUAUAAUUCGGGAUCUCUGAAGAGAUCACGCUCACCUAUUCACAGUCCGAUGGCGUAUCACAGCGUUACGCAGAACCCGGGCAAUCGCAGUUUCAGUCCAAGAAAUGGCGAUGAUUGGGAUGUUUCAACGUCCAAUAGGCGCAUAUUCGUGGACAACAGUGUUGUAGAUACCAGUAGCAACGUACGAGUUUCAUCAAUGAUCAGCGGCACUUCCAGGCGUGACUCAUGGGACGCGAUUGCCAAAACGAAAUCAUUGUUGUCAUAUGGCAGCCUGGAGUCUUUAGCAAAUCUGACCAACACGGAGAAUCGCGUUGGCAGCCCGAGCAGCAGGGCUCUCAACAACAAUUAUAAGAAUGCACAAAGCUAUCCUGUGAAGAAUGUUUCGUCACACGAGUCUACGUCUAUCAAUUACUCGUCUACGCAGAAAUCAUUAAAUUCCGAUUACGGUACCGCGAAGAAGAAUAAUAAUAAUGAUUUAGCAAGCCAGACGCCUGCUCGUUAUACCCACGGCAUUUUAAAGAAUAAGAACAACAAUUAUGGGAGGGGCAUCGACGUGACGGAUACCGCAACGCGCGACAGAUAUCUGAACAAUAAUAGUCCUGCCUAUGUGUCAACGUCGAUAUCAUCAAUCGACAAGAGUGGCUCGAUUGUCGCCACCGGAAGCGCAUUGGAGACGCUGUCGGUGCACCGGCCGACUAUUUUCAGCAUCAAUUCCGAUGUAGACCCGGACAUGGUUUCCGUCACCGUCACUGGUCCUACUGGCAAAACUGUGCCAUUACAGAGGUCAAAGCUGCGAGGUCUGACAUAUAGCAUCACUGCCGAGGAAAUCGGUGAGCACAUCAUCCAGGUUCUGGCGAAUGGUCAACACAUCAAGGGAUCACCUUUCAGAUCUCAAGCAUAUAAUGCCCGAGCUAUGCAAGUUGGCAACAUCCCAAAUGGAAUAGUAAAUGAACCGGUGGAAUUUGAAAUUGAUGGAUCGAAAGCUGGCUCGGGAAAUUUGGAGAUCCUUGUAAACGGAGGACACGUCACGAGUUUUGUAAGAGCGCUAGGUAAUCAGCGUUUCUUAGCAUCGUUCGUACCACACGAAGCGGUUACGCACUUGGUCGAGAUGACAUUCAACGGAGAGAUCAUCCCUGGAUCACCUUGGCGAGUUGGCAUCAUGCCUGUACCCAAGAUGUCAGUGAUCGGUGAUUCCAUCAGAUUGGUUCCUGCCGGCAGUCCUGCUGUCUUUGAAUUGUCAGCGUUAGGUUUCAACAUUAGUGAGAUCGAUGUUCAAAUCAUAACACCUUCAAAGAAGCACAUUCCUGCAAAAAUUGACGAGGAAUUGGGUCGAUCUGGCGAGUUCCGUGUUGAAUUCACACCAACCGAAGUGGGCAGUCACCUCGUGGAAGUGAGCAUUGCAGGACAAAAGCUACCGGCAGGACCUCUUGUCGCCAAAGUAUACAAUAGCAGUCUGAUCCAAGUUACUGACGUACCUAGCGCCGUAGUUGGUCAUGCUUGUCAGUUUAGAGUGGAUGCCAGCGCUGCUGGAGAAGGCCAACUAGAGAUUUCCAUAAACGAAGGAGAAGUACCGAAUCAUGUGCAAGUAGUAGGUGGUGGUCGUUGUCUCGUGUCUUUUACUCCCGAAGUCGCUAAACCUCAUUACAUUGACAUAAAAUUCAACGGAGAAGCAGUACGCGGAUGUCCCUUUGUCUGCAACGUGUCCGAUACGAGCAGAGUUACACUCGGCUUGAAUCACUUGGAAUUAAUACCAGUUGAUGAGCCUGCCAGCUUUCAUAUGGGAGUUGACGGAAGCGGCAGUGCAGAACUCGCGGUUUCUGUAAGAGGACCGAAUAGUGAAUUGCCAGUUAAAGUUACUGGUGACAUAAGCAGCGGUUUUACCGCAGAGUUUAUACCGAGGGACGUGGGUGUACAUUCAAUUAGCGUGGAAUACAAUGGCUAUCCUGUAAAUGGCACGCCGUUUUUAGCCAAGGCGUUCAACGCGGAUAAAGUGCUGAUCGGGUCUGUAGCUCGAGGCAGCGUCGGCCAACCAAUCCAUUUUACUGUCGACGCGAGUCAAGCCGGUGAAGGAAAUUUAGAGAUCACGAUAUCGGCUCGCGGUCAAAAUAUACCAACGCAAGUAACACCACAGGGAAAUGCACGAUUUUCCGUCAGUUUCGUACCGUUUGAAGCGUGCGAGCACGUUAUCAAUAUAGCCUUUAAUAAGAAAACCGUGCCAGGAUGUCCUAUAAUGACACGAGUCGGUGGUGAUAGCCACGUAACUGUGAGUGGCCAGGCAUUGAGCAGCGCUGGAUUAGGACGGCAAAGUUAUCUGACCGUCAGUAACGUUGCCGGUAGCUUGGAGGAUUUAGAAGUUAAUGUUGAAGGUCGGCCAGCUUUCAGACUACGACAUUACUAGACUUCUCAAAAACUAAUUUCACUCUUAUCUUAACUUAUGGACUAUAACGAAAUACACGUACGGUGGGCCCAACGGACAGGCCGUACCUGCUCAAGUCACUGACAACAAAGAUACUACAUGCAGCGUGGCGUUUACGCCGAGAGUCGUCGGUGAACACCGAAUAUCGGUGAGUCACCGGAACGUUCCGGUAGUUGGCAGUC